UUUAAUCACCAUGUACACAAAAUGGUUUACUCUCUUGAUAAUCUCUGGACUGAUGACUAUUGCUAAUACAAAACAAGCGUACCCUUUUCAUUCAUUGUCAUGUGAAAAAGGAUGGCUUCAGUUCGUAUAAAGCUGCUAUUUGUUUGUUAACAAAGCAGUUAUUCUCAAAGAUGCAGUUAAUUAUUGCAACCGAGCUGGCGCACACAUUCUUGAAAUAAAAAGUUCCCAUGAAGAGAAAUGGGUUGACCUGCAACUAAAA